UCGAACGGCAGCACAGCCCGCAAGGGUGGGUGGCGAGUGGCGGACGGGUGAGGAAUACAUCGGAAUCUACCCUGUCGUGGGGGAUAACCAGCCGAAAGGUUGGCUAAUACCGCAUACGACCGAGAGGUGAAAGCGGAGGACUCGCAAGGGCUUCGCGCGAUUGGAUGAGCCGAUGUCGGAUUAGCUAGUUGGCGGGGUAAAGGCCCACCAAGGCGACGAUCCGUAGCUGGUCUGAGAGGAUGAUCAGCCACACUGGGACUGAGACACGGCCCAGACUCCUACGGGAGGCAGCAGUGGGGAAUAUUGGACAAUGGGCGCAAGCCUGAUCCAGCAAUGCCGCGUGUGUGAAGAAGGCCUUCGGGUUGUAAAGCACUUUUAUCAGGAACGAAAAGUUCUCGGUUAAUACCCGGGAAUGCUGACGGUACCUGAGGAAUAAGCACCGGCUAACUUCGUGCCAGCAGCCGCGGUAAUACGAAGGGUGCAAGCGUUA
rnacentral:rRNA from 1 species